GAUGAACGCUGGCGGCGUGCCUAAUACAUGCAAGUCGAGCGAACAGACGAGGAGCUUGCCCCUCUGACGUUAGCGGCGGACGGGUGAGUAAAACGUGGAUAACCUACCUAUAAGACUGGGAUAACUUCGGGAAACCGGAGCUAAUACCGGAAAAUAUAUUGAACCGCAUGGUUCAAUAGUGAAAGACGGUUUUGCUGUCACUUAUAGAUGGAUCCGCGCCGCAUUAGCUAGUUGGUAAGGUAACGGCUUACCAAGGCGACGAUGCGUAGCCGACCUGAGAGGGUGAUCGGCCACACUGGAACUGAGACACGGUCCAGACUCCUACGGGAGGCAGCAGUAGGGAAUCUUCCGCAAUGGGCGAAAGCCUGACGGAGCAACGCCGCGUGAGUGAUGAAGGUCUUCGGAUCGUAAAACUCUGUUGUUAGGGAAGAACAAAUGUGUAAGUAACUAUGCACGUCUUGACGGUACCUAAUCAGAAAGCCACGGCUAACUACGUG
rnacentral:rRNA from 1 species